GCAUCGAUGAAGAACGCAGCGAAAUGCGAUAAGUAAUGUGAAUUGCAGAAUUCAGUGGAUCAUCGAAUCUUUGAACGCACCUUGCGCUCCAUGGUAUUCCGUGGAGCAUGCCUGUUUGAGUGUCAUGAAUACUUCAACCCUCCUCUUUCUUAAUGAUUGAAGAGGUGUUUGGUUUCUGAGCGCUGCUGGCCUUUACGGUCUAGCUCGUUCGUAAUGCAUUAGCAUCCGCAAUCGAACUUCGGGUUGACUUGGCGUAAUAGACUAUUCGCUGAGGAAUUCUAGUCUUCGGACUAGAGCCGGGUUGGGUUAAAGGAAGCUUCUAAUCAGAAUGUCUACAUUUUAAGAUUAGAUCUCAAAUCAGGUAGGACUACCCGCUGAACUUAGGCAUAUCAAUAAGCGGAGGA
rnacentral:rRNA from 1 species